GGCUCCGUAGCUCAGCUGGAUAGAGCGCAAGCUUGCGGAGCUUGAGGUCGCAGGUUCAACUCCUGCCGGAGUCACCA
rnacentral:tRNA from 1 species